rnacentral:rRNA from 1 species
GACGAACGCUGGCGGCGUGCUUAACACAUGCAAGUCGAACGAAGUGGCGAACGGGUGAGUAAUACGUGGGUAACCUGCCUUAGACAUUGGGUUAGCCUCGGGAAACCGGGAUUAAUACCAAAUGGUCUAAGAUGGACUAGCGUCCAAUUGGCUCGUGGGUGGGGUUAUGGCAUCCCAAGGCGGUGCCGGGUAGCCGGCCUGAGAGGGUACACGGCCACAUUGGGACUGAGAUAAGGCCCAGAGUCGUAAGCGGGGCAGCAGUGGGGGAUAUGGCACAAUGGGCGAAAGACUGAUGCAGCGAGACCGCGUGGGGGAUGCAGGCUUUCGGGUUGUAAACCUCGUUCGCUAUCGACGGGGUAGGUGGAGAAGAAGCCCCGGCUAACUACGUGCCAGCAGCCGCGGUAAUAC